UAUCAGCUAACACACAUUGUUAAAUAUAAAUACUAAAGAUAAGAACACAUAACAAUAGAAAUGCACUAUGAAUAACAACCCAAAGAUAACAAUAGAAAGUAAUAGUUUUAUCUGUUAGUAAACAGAUAACUAGCGAUACAGCUCAAUAGUAUAAAUAGCACUAAGAUUUAUUUAACUAGUUAGUCUUAAGAAUAUCAGUAAAGAGUACACAUUUCACUGCAGCUCAAAGGUAUUUUUAAUAACUCAUAUCGCGUAAACGAUAUUAACUGGGGGCUCAACCGGGAUAGCAAAUUUUUACUUGCUAUCAAAAAAGCCAGGAAACAUCCUUGAAAAGACAGGAACUCCGCGAUCCUAAAGAAGGAUAAAAUUAAAAUAUCACGGGAAGUAGGAAUUCCAGCACUAGAUUUUUGAAAAAAGUGCUUAAAAUUCAACAAAAAAAUUCCUGAAAAAUCGGAAUAACAUCGUACUGGAAUCGCGAAUCAAACGAAAAGCAUUCAAUUCAUCACGUGUAUCGUUGGACAUAAACUCCGAUAUGACAACACAGGAGAUCGCAAUCCUGAGAGCACAAAUCGCUGCUCUAACCACAACGCUCACCGAAACCCAACAAAGAGUGAAUUCCUUCGCAACUCACCCAACACCUAACGUCACAGUCACCAACCAAUACCAGGGCUGUACACCAAACAUUACCGACGCAUCACAAAUCAACCUAAAAGUGUUCAAAACGUUACCAAUAUUUACAGGUGACGCGAACCACUAUAGGUCAUGGAGAAAUUUUAUUGCUCACACAUGGAGAACAUCAAGGAUGGAAGGAUCACGUUACUACACCCACAUAUUACACGGCACUCUCAAUUGUACAUUCAAAAAUUCAAGGAGAAGCGGCCGAUAUUUUAAUAAACCACGACACCAAAUUCAAUAAAAAUUCUUCUUCUCGAAACGUACCACAGAAGGUGCAACGUGUCAACCAAACACGCGACGAAGAAUUAACAUCACUUGUACCAGAAUAUGAAAAUGAGGAAUACGAAACAGGCAUACUUUUUAGGCGCAUGAACGAUUUGCCGUGUCUGCAACGCCAAGGCAGGGAUACAGGCAAACCGGAGCAACGAAAAAUUAUAUUAGCACAAAGUGCAAUAUAGAUUACCAGCAUACUUGGAACAACAUACAUAUAUCAGGCCCUAAAUUGAUACAUUUUAAUGAAUCCACAAACAUCGAUAAUAUCACGUACUGCAAUCAUCAAGGACAACUCAGAGAAAUCAUACACAAUCAACACAGCGAAAAUUUUGAAGUACUCCGUAUCCUUUCCUCAAAUUCAAUCUACAAAUUCAGUAAUAUCCAAAAACUCUCAACAUUUUUGAUACCUAUUGAAGAAAACCCAGUACAGCUGACGUUCUUUAUCAUAAUGGGAUUCCUUACUUUAGUAGUCAUUACUUAUAGUAUUGUAAAUCUCUGCCGAUACCACGAAAAUAGAAAAGUACUUAACAGACAAAGGCAAAUUGACGAGUUAUACGAAAUCGAAAUGAACCGUCUUCAACAGCAAGCGAGGACGCUCCGUUUUAAGAGGGAGGGGAGUUAACGACAUAGCCGCACACCGCAUACAUAUCUGCAAUACAAUAUGUGAUCUCUACACUUCACAUACACAUCGUACAUAUACAUAUGUACAUACAUAUAAGUGAUAUAGCAUAUCACUAGCAUAAAUACACAAAAUCGAAAUAAGCAUAUGUAAACAUAUCUAUCAGCUAACACACAUUGUUAAAUAUAAAUACUAAAGAUAAGAACACAUAACAAUAGAAAUGCACUAUGAAUAACAACCCAAAGAUAACAAUAGAAACUAAUAGUUUUAUCUGUUAGUAAACAGAUAACUAUCGAUACAGCUCAAUAGUAUAAAUAGCACUAAGAUUUAUGUAAACUAGUCAGUCUUAAGAAUAUCAAUAUAGAGUACACAUUUCACUGCA